rnacentral:lncRNA from 1 species
AGCAGACGCCCUGCUAUCCUCAUCUUAGGACACCCAGUUCCCAACACAGUGCCUGCUGCAAAUUAUCAGUAAUAACAGGCCAUUAACUCCCCUGCUGGUCCCUAUCCAUGGAGCCCAUUGACAGAUGAGUUUGGUUCUGCACCUAAGAAGGACAGUUACAGACACAGAUACCUUUUAAGAAUCUUCCCUCCAGAGAAUACUAGAAAGUGUUCAGUAUGUUAAGCCCUUAGAAAUAAAUUCUGGCCGGGCGCGGUGGCUCACGCCUGUCAUCCCAGCACUUGGGGAGGCUGAGGCGGGUGGAUCACAAGGUCAGGAGAUCAAGACCAUCCUGGCUAACACGGUGACACCCCGUCUCUACUGGGCGCCUGUGGUCCCAGCUACUCGGGAGGCUGAGGCAGGAGAAUGGCGGGAACCCGGGAGGGAACCCGGGAGGCGGAGCUUGCAACGAGCCGAGAUCGCGCCACUACACUCCAGCCUGGGAUACAGAGCGAGACUACGUCUCCAAAAAAAAUAAAAAUAAAAUUUAAAAG